GUGCUUGCUUCGGCAGCACAUAUACUAAAAUUGGAACGAAACAGAGAAGAUUCACAUGGCCCCUACGCAAGGAUGACACGCAAAUUCGUGAGGCAUUCCAUAUUUUU
ensembl:snRNA U6 U6 spliceosomal RNA